GCAAGUCGUGCGAGAAAGUAUCUUCGGAUAUGAGUAGAACGGCGGACGGGUGAGUAACGCGUAGGAAUCUACCUAGUAGAAGGGGAUAGCCCGGGGAAACUCGGAUUAAUACCGUAUACCUCCUUAGGGAGAAAGAGGGCCUCUCUUGAUGCUCUUGCUAUUAGAUGAGCCUGCGUAAGAUUAGCUUGUUGGUGAGGUAAUGGCUCACCAAGGCUAUGAUCUUUAGCUGGUCUGAGAGGACGAUCAGCCACAUUGGGACUGAGACACGGCCCAGUCUCCUACGGGAGGCAGCAGUGGGGAAUAUUGGACAAUGGGCGCAAGCCUGAUCCAGCCAUACCGCGUGUGUGAAGAAGGCUCUAGGGUUGUAAAGCACUUUAAGCAGGGAGAAAAAGUUAUAAGUUAAUACCUUAUAACCGUGAUGUUACCUGCAGAAUAAGCACCGGCUAAUUCCGUGCCAGCAGCCGCGGUAAUACGGAAGGUGCAAGCGUUAAUCGGAAUUACUGGGCGUAAGGCGCGCGUAGGUGGUUUGUUAAGUUGGAUGUGAAAGCCCUGGGCUCAACCUAGGAACUGCAUCCAAAACUAACUCACUAGAGUACGAUAGAGGGAGGUAGAAUUCAUAGUGUAGCGGUGGAAUGCGUAGAUAUUAUGAAGAAUACCAGUGGCGAAGGCGGCCUCCUGGAUCUGUACUGACACUGAGGUGCGAAAGCGUGGGUAGCGAACAGGAUUAGAUACCCUGGUAGUCCACGCCGUAAACGAUGACAACUAGCUGUUGGGAGACAAUGUCUUUCAGUGGCGCAGCUAAC
rnacentral:rRNA from 1 species